rnacentral:rRNA from 1 species
UACGUAGGUGGCAAGCGUUGUCCGGAUUUAUUGGGUUUAAAGGGUGCGUAGGCGGUGAUUUAAGUCAGUGGUGAAAUACGGCAGCUCAACUGUCGAGGUGCCAUUGAUACUGGGUCACUUGAGUACUGAUGAGGUAGGCGGAAUGGACGGUGUAGCGGUGAAAUGCUUAGAGAUCGUCCAGAACACCGAUAGCGAAAGCAGCUUACUAAGGAGUAACUGACGCUGAGGCACGAAAGUGUGGGGAUCAAACAGG